UUGUUCACUCGCUCAGAGACUUUGGCCUGUAAAUGACUUUGAAUUGCUGACUCAGGUGUUCACUAUGAGGUGCACAUGUGGGGGGUAAUGUUUUACGAGAAGCUGCUCAGUAGGGGAUGAAUGUGUUGGCCACACCAAUCGUCUUCUGAAGCCAACAAUGAGUCCAGAGCUUGACUGAACGUGAGAAGAUCUCCUGUGUUUCCCAGAACUGCACUGACAUUGAGGUUGAUGUUAACAAUAAGAUGAAGUAAGAACCUGAUGACUGUGUGGUUGAGCCUUCAGAGACAAUAAAACAUCUACUUUCUCAUGUGACUCAGGACGCUCUCAAACAAAUCCAUCAGUGCCACUAGGGUGAUACAGCGGGGAUCAAACUAAUCAUUUCCUGUUGAUGCGGAUCCUCAUCUAAUCAUCACUAAUCUCGAGUCUUGUCUUUGUUUUGGCUUGUUGGUGAUAGAAAACUCCCCUGCGAGUGAGUGGGAUCUACGUGAAGUCAGUGGUGCCAGAUUCCCCAGCAGCCCUCAGCCAGAGACUCAGAGUGGGCGACCGAAUCCUCGCUGUGAAUGGAGUCAGUCUGGUGGGCGUCGAAUACCACAGUGGGAGAGAACUCAUCCGGACGUCAAGCGAUUCGCUCCGAUUACUGGUGGCCAAAACCGAAUCCAGGAGCUUCAUCACCAGAUGCUGAGAAACACAACAGACUCGUCUGGAUUCUUGACUGAAUCAUUGAGCUGAUUUUCCUCAUUGAUCCAUUCAGCCAAAUCUGGAACUCAAAUAUUUUGCUGAAACCAAAGUAAAGGAAAUUCAACUGAUUUCAUUAAUGUUUUUAUUUUUUAAGUUGUUGUUGUUGCUUCUGCUGGCAAACUCUUUGUCUCAGAAAGCCAGAAUAAUAUGUUGAUAUCUUCCAUUCAUAGUGUUUAUUUCACACUUUUCUUUCUAUCUUUAAUGUAACACAGUUUACCAGAUGUUUUAAACCGUUGUUUACCAGUGUUUUAUUUUCGUUUAGUAUCUGUCCGUCUGUCAUUUUCUGGUUUGAUGAGAAAUAGUUGUGGUCCAGACAGGGUUAUUUCAGUUUCCUUAAAGCUCAAACUGGAAGGAAAAGACAAUUACAGCUUCAUUCUCUGUUCAUAACAUACAAAUACUGCUGUGAAUCAGUGAGAACUACAUUAGUUUUAGUCAGUUUGUAAUAUUUAUCCAAAGUAUCACUAUUAAAGUGCUGUUUUAAAUGGUUCAUGUUGCUGAUGUUAUGAAACUAUUGUACUGUUUUCAUAUUGAUGAAAUUUCAUAUUGAUAUUCCUUGUGAGGUUCCUGAUGUCAGUCAUAAACGAUGAUAUUCUUCUCAGUGUCAGAGAAACAGUGUUAUAUUGUGUCAUCUGUGUUCAUGAUGGUGUAUAAAAACUAUCGGUCGUAAUAUUUAUGUGUUAUUCUACAAGUGUAAUAAAUAUUAUUUUGAUUUCUUUUUAAAGAAAAGAGAUAAACU